rnacentral:rRNA from 1 species
UACGGGGGGGGGCAAGCGUUGUUCGGAAUUACUGGGCGUAAAGGGUUUGUAGGUGGCCUGCUAAGUCAGACGUGAAAUCCCCUCAGCUUAACUGGGGAACUGCGUCUGAGACUGGCGGGCUUGAGGGCAGGAGAGGAACGCGGAAUUCCAGGUGUAGCGGUGAAAUGCGUAGAUAUCUGGAGGAACACCGGUGGCGAAGGCGGCGUUCUGGACUGUUUCUGACACUGAUAAACGAAAGCCAGGGGAGCAAACGGG